rnacentral:lncRNA from 1 species
AAUAAAUAAUUGAAUAAUUCAAUGAAUAAUAAUGAAAAUAAUUAAAUAGUUAGAGCACUCUAUUUAAUAUCUAUUAAGUUAUAGAAUUAAUCUAAAUAGACUUAUUAAUUAUGUCAUUACUUAAAACUAGUCUAAGUUCUAUCGAAAUUUCGGCAGCACCUCCCCUUAAAAUUGGACUAUCUACCUGCUCAAAUAUCAC